AUUGAACGCUGGCGGCAUGCCUUACACAUGCAAGUCGGACGGCAGCGCGGGCUUCGGCCUGGCGGCGAGUGGCGAACGGGUGAGUAAGACAUCGGAACGUGUCCUGGAGUGGGGGAUAGCCCGGCGAAAGCCGGAUUAAUACCGCAUACGCUCUGUGUAGGAAAGCGGGGGAUCUUCGGACCUCGCGCUCCAGGGGCGGCGGAUGGCAGAUUAGGUAGUUGGUGGGGUAUAGGCCUACCAAGCCGACGAUCUGUAGCUGGUCUGAGAGGACGACCAGCCACACUGGGACUGAGACACGGCCCAGACUCCUACGGGAGGCAGCAGUGGGGAAUUUUGGACAAUGGGGGCAACCCUGAUCCAGCAAUGCCGCGUGUGUGAAGAAGGCCUUCGGGUUGUAAAGCACUUUUGUCCGGAAAGAAAUCCUGAUGGCUAAUACCUGUUGGGGAUGACGGUACCGGAAGAAUAAGCACCGGCUAACUACGUGCCAGCCGCCGCUGUAAUAC
rnacentral:rRNA from 1 species